CCCUUAGAUGUUCUGGGCUGCACGCGCGUUACACUGAUGCAUUCAACGAGCUUAUAACCUUGGCCGAGAGGCCUGGGCAAUCUUGUUAACGUGCAUCGUGAUAGGGAUAGAUUAUUGAAAUUAUUAAUCUUGAACGAGGAAUUCCUAGUAAACGCAGAUCAUCAAUCUGCAUUGAUUACGUCCCUGCCCUUUGUACACACCGCCCGUCGCACCUACCGAUUGGAUGGUCCGGUGAAGCCUCGGGAUUGUGGUUCUUGCCGCUUUAUUGUGGCGUGACCGCGAGAACUUGUCUAAACCUUAUCAUCUAGAGGAAGGUGAANUCGUAACA
rnacentral:rRNA from 1 species